CCUACGGGUGGCAGCAGUGAGGAAUAUUGGUCAAUGGACGAGAGUCUGAACCAGCCAAGCCGCGUGAAGGAUGACUGCCCUAUGGGUUGUAAACUUCUUUUAUAUGGGAAUAAAAUCUUCCACGCGUGUGAUUUUGUAUGUACCAUAUGAAUAAGGAUCGGCUAACUCCGUGCCAGCAGCCGCGGUAAUACGGAGGAUCCGAGCGUUAUCCGGAUUUAUUGGGUUUAAAGGGAGCGUAGGUGGUUUGUUAAGUCAGUUGUGAAAGUUCGCGGCUCAACCGUAGAAUUGCAGGUGAUACUGGCAGUCUAGAGUAGAGUAGAGGUAGGCGGAAUGCGUGGUGUAGCGGUGAAAUGCUUAGAUAUCACGAAGAACUCCGAUUGCGAAGGCAGCUCACUGGGCUGCAACUGACGCUGAGGCACGAAAGCGUGGGUAUCAAACAGGAGUAGAUACCCCUGUAGUC
rnacentral:rRNA from 1 species